rnacentral:misc_RNA from 1 species
GGGAAUAAUCAACCUUUGUAGUUGUGGAUUUCUCUGAGCGGAACAGCAAGAGGAAGGUUUUCUUGUUUUGAUUUUGGAUCCGUUUUUUUUCUUCAAGGAUUUCUGCAAGUGGUUUUUUUUUUUCUUCUUUCUGGGAUCUGUUGAAGCUUUUACUUGGUUGUGGCCAUGGCGGAAAAUCACGACCACGAGCAUGAGCACGAGGAGCCCAAAGGUGAGUCGUUGCUUGACAAGAUUACCGAGAAGAUUCACGCUCAUGAUUC